GUCGGGCCUGGGGCGUGGAUGGGAGCGGCUUGGGUUCUGAGUCUCCACCCUUGUGAAGGGGGAAAUAUACCCAAGUUGUACGCCAAUGUCCAUAGCAGAAUUAUUCACAAUCAGCAAAGCUGGAAACAACCCAGGAACCAUCAGCAGAGGAAUGGAUAAAGGAAAUGAAAGGAAAUGGGCUGGAUACACACGUUGGAGUCUUAGCCACAGAGAGGAAUGAAGUUCUGACACAUUCUACAACAUGGAGAAGCCUGGAGAACCUCUGCCAGGCAAAAGAAGCCAGGGACAAAGAACAAAUGCUUCAUGAGUCCAUUUAUAUGGGGCACCUGGAGCAGGGCAGUUCGAGGACAUAGAAGACAGAGUGGAGGUUACCAGUGCCUCAGGGAAUGGGGGCAGUUGGGAGCUCUUCCUUGAAUAGGUACUGAAUUUCUGCUAAGGGUAUUGAAACGUUUUGGAAAUACUGUUGCUGUAACGGUGUAAAUGUAGUUAACACGACUGAAUUCUGCACUUAAAAAUGGUUAAAAUGCAGCCAGGCGUGGUGAUGCACACCUGUAUUCCCAGCACUCUGGGAGGCUGAGGCAGGAGGAUUGCAAGUUCAAACCCAGCCUGGGCAGCUUAGUGAGACUGUCUCAAAAUAAAGAAUCAAAAAAGGCUGGGGAUGUAGCUUAGUGUGAAGGUCCUGGGUUCAAUCCUCAGUACUGCAUUUAAAAAGGAAAGAAAUUCAGAGGCCCCGAGGGAGCCUCCCGUCGUCACUCAGGGCCACAGCGAACCCUGGGUUUCCAGUCUCCAGCACUGUGAGACAAGAAAUCUGCUGCAUCAGCCUCCAAGUUUGAGGUCCUUUGUUAGAGUCUAGCGAACGAUCUCACUCCCAGAGAAAGCUGCUCUGCCUGUCUUCUGUGUCCACCAGGGUCAUCAAACAAGUUUUUUUGAGACAGGGCCUCACUGUGUAGCCCAGGAUGACCUCGAACUUGUGGAGAUUGUCCUGCCUCAGUGUCUCAAGUGCUAGGAUUACAGGUGUGCACCGCCAUGCCUGGCUCCACUCUGUGCAUCGAGUGG
rnacentral:lncRNA from 1 species